UCGCAAUUAGGAACAAUGCUGAGCGAAGAACCAUUUUUCAUUGUAAAAAAAAAGGCUGACAAAAACGAGUUACCACCGUGUUUUAUUUUGAAAAACUCUUUAAAUUCCCUUACUAAUGCAACGCAUCCGCUUCUCCAAUCUCUUCCCUUCCAGGUAUCAAAAGAAGAACUCGCGAAAAUAGUGCAAGGCUUCGACAAAACGGAACUGCUCACCUCAGGAGGCGUGACACUGGCCGGCCAGCGUUACAUCUACCUGUCCGGAACCGACCGAGUGAUCCGAGCUAAGCUGGGCAAAAUGGGAGUACACUGUAUGAAGACACAGCAGGCUGUUAUAGUAUCAAUUUACGAAGAGCCAGUGCAGCCUCAGCAAGCAGCGUCUAUAGUCGAAAAGCUCGGAGAUUAUCUAAUUACCUGUGGUUAUUAGAAGAGGUAAACUUUCAUACUGCUUUUUAUAAUUUAAACAUUAGAAACACACUUGAAUAAAAACUGAAAAAAAACGAAAAAAAUUGAAAAACAAUACAGUGUAAGCUUACUACUGCUAUUAGGAAUGAUAUAAACGAGGAAAAUAAAAACGGUUGCAAAAAUGCUAAUUGUAAGAAUGAGAACGAGUAAAAAGAGGAGAUUCUGUUUUUCUUCUUUUGCAAAGUCAAUAUUUAUAAGUUCCCUUGCUAGUUUUUGUUUUUCUUUUGUUUUCCGUAAGAUUGAGGAAGUUCGAGAUUGAGGGAAAGGACAUUUACUGCUUUUUCGUUGUUUUUUUUUUCACCUGAUGUAAAGCAUUUCUCGAUUUUGUUUUCUCUCCUUCCUUCCAAGUAGUGGUUGUUUGUGUUAGAGUUUUUGUUUUCCACGCGAAAUACUUUCUCGUCAUUUAGAUAUUGAUUUGCCUGUACCUUGAGUGUUGUUCCUUCGCGCGUUUAAUUCAUAAAGAAUUAGAAGAUAAUCGAAGCUCAAAAUUGUCGUCACGGUUUGAUUUUCUAUUUUGUUUCUUCUUCUCUCUUUUAUUUACAGCCUACGGCGGCAGUGUGAGCGUAUUUCUCUUGUAUUUGUGUAAAAUCAGUUCAGUAUGAUAAGAAAUUGUAAUUUGUAUUAGCUCUUAAAAAUCAUUAAGCAUCUCUCUGAAUUGGUCGAAUCGAAGAACUGAACGAAGAAAGAUUGCGAAAGCAAGAGCGGAGAUUAUAUAGCGUGAUUCGAAGAUGGAGCGAAGUAAAAACUUGCACUUAGAAAACAAAUUAAAAUUCUUACGCAUUCUUCGAUGGCACAUGAGAUGAAUUACAGUCAUAUAGGAUACGAGCAUGGGUUGUAAUGUUGAAAUCAGAGGAGGACAAAUAAAACAAACACAUGUAAAACUGAAAGCAAAACUGUGGAAGACCAUUUUUGAUGGUGGAAAAGGAAUGAAACGCAUAAGCUACUCUACUAUUAUUAUCAUCCGUAACUGUAUUAAUUAUUCUGCGAUGAAACAGAGCUGAGGUAUGAAAACAGAUUUCGAUUCAUAAUUUGCAAAAAAUGCGCGAGAACCGUUUUUCUUUGUGUCGGACAGCAUAAAUACAAGCAUAACUAUGAGAUAAACAAGCGAAUCAAUAUGAUAAGGAUAAUGCAAUGAUAAUAAAAAACCGCAAGAACAGAAUAACAGCGAAAAUAAUGGACAAAAUGUGUGUGAUUUACUACUAAUUUACAAAUAAGUGAAAGCAUGUGAGAAAUUGAAGAGUUUUUACCUCUCUUUAUUUUUUUUUUAUAAAUUAUCAUAGAAUUCUUGUGAUUAUAAAUUAUUCUUAUCCUAUGAUCGAGAUGAAAACAUGCUGAUGGUCUCUAGUUUUUUUUUCUACAAUUUCUUCCAACAAAACACAAACAUCCCUAUUUUGUUUAUUUCUGACUAUCCAUUGAACACUAUCCUUCAUGAAUGUCCUUUCAGUACAGAAAGAAAUAAAAAAAAGAAACGCGAAAACUUAA